rnacentral:tRNA from 1 species
GCCACCCUAGCUCAGUGGUAGAGCAGCGGUUUCGUAAACCGCAGGUCUGGGGUUCAAAUCCCCAGGGUGGCUCCA